GACGAACGCUGGCGGCGUGCUUAACACAUGCAAGUCGAGCGAGCGGCGAACGGGUGAGUAACGCGUGAGUAACCUGCCCCCCUCUCUGGGAUAACAGUUGGAAACGAUAGCUAAUACCGCAUACUAGUAGAUGGACCUGCGUUGUAUUAGCUAGUAGGUAGGGUAAUGGCCUACCUAGGCAACGAUACAUAGCCGACCUGAGAGGGUGACCGGCCACAUUGGGACUGAGAUACGGCCCAGACUCCUGCGGGAGGCAGGAGUGGGGGGUAUUGCACAAUGGGCGAAAGCGUGAUGCAGCGACGCCGCGUGGGGGAUGAAGGCUUCGGGUUGUAAACCUCUUUCGCUAUCGAACGGGUAGGUGGAGAAGAAGCGCCGGCUAACUACGUGCCAGAAGCCGCGGUAAUAC
rnacentral:rRNA from 1 species